rnacentral:tRNA from 1 species
GGGAUUGUGGCUCAGUGGCAGAGCGCUUGCCUCACAUAUGAGGUACUGGGUUCGAUCUUCAUCAGCACCA